AUGGCGAUACAGACCUCGAGCUCGAGCAAAAGACAUGCUUUAGGUGAAACGACUCAAAGCACUUCUUUGGUAAGCUUCCAAUUCGCUAUUUUCCCACUUCUGUUAUUUGGAUUAGAGGGACCUUAUGGCAUAGAAAUAGCGACAACAUCAAGAAGUAAAAAUGAAAGACUGAAACUAUAAUCUUCUCGCCAAGUGCAACCGUUGA
rnacentral:lncRNA from 1 species